rnacentral:tRNA from 1 species
GAGGGUAUAGCUCAGUGGUAGAGUGCAUGCUUAGCAUGCACGAGGUCCUGGGUUCAAUCCCCAGCACCUCA